ensembl:lncRNA
UAUUUAAUGUACUUAUCAUUAGGUUAGGUUUACAAGUUUACAUACUUCGUUUAUAGGGUUUAUUAUUAAAGGAUGUUUGGUUUUAGGUUAAUCCUCAGGAUUAAAUUGACAAAUAUAAACUAAUUUGUUUUAAAAUAAUAUGUAAUUGAAUAAAAAGAUACUGAAAUUGAUAAUUCAAAAUUAUUAUGUUGAGUUAUAAAAAACUGAGAAGCGAUGACGUAUACAUUCACAAAAACAUUGAUUAACUUGAUUAAGGUAUUUAGCUUUACAUUUUUUCCGUUUUUGGGAAUAUGAACACAAUUUUACUAAAUGUAAAUAGCUUUAAUAUCAUGAAAACAGUUAUGAUCUAUAUGCAGAUCAAAUAAUAUUUAUGUAUAAAUCCUUAUUCAGUUCCCCACCCAACGUGUAGCACCAAGAUUGCUGCCAGGUAAGGGCCAGGACUGAACUGACUGGUUUGGAGACAGGCUGCCUGGGCGGCCCGAUUGGCUGCCUGGGUCACAUGGUGUGCUGAGUGUUGGCUGUGGAAAGCCCCGGUAGCAGCAGCCUGGCUUCCCGCCAGAGAUCACGAGCACCACAGCACCAACUGUACAAACUGCCACAACACCGGCCUCCAUCUUGUCUCCUGACGUCAAGAACCGCAAAAUGGCGGCUGUGGUCACUGCAAACGGUGUCUGAUUUAACGACGAUAAAAAAACAUGUCAUCACUUAUAAAGAUUAUUUUACAAUGUGGCGUUGUAAUGAACUGUAUUGUAAAUAUUAACAAAAAACCUUUGACCCUGGCUCUAACUUUCAAUUCGGUUUGUCAUUAAAGUCAGAUCGUAUUUUAUUGUGUACUAAAGUGAGAUCAUCAUUGUGGUGUGUUGUGUUCGCUAUAGGUGGAGCAGGGUGAAGAGACAACACCGUCACCAGCGACAUAACACCUAAACUGCACUGGCGUCCAGUGAAGGAUGACGUGUAGGCCGUGACUGACCUCUAGUGGAGGAGAUUAGAGCAGCAGAAGAUGGGCUAGGGUGAGUAGCAUCCACACCAAAGGCCCCGUUGCCACGCCUGUGGCCUCGACUGGUUGCGUUCUUAACGUCUGUGUGGGGCAGGAUGGUCCGGUUUGGUUGUGUUCUUAAAGGGGACAUAUUAUGAAAACACUUUGUUGCUCUGGGGGGGCAA